rnacentral:rRNA from 1 species
GAGUUUGAUCCUGGCUCAGAACGAACGCUGGCGGCAGGCCUAACACAUGCAAGUCGAGCGAACCUUCGGGUUAGCGGCGGACGGGUUAGUAACGCGUGGGAACGUGCCCUUCACUAAGGAAUAGCCACUGGAAACGGUGAGUAAUACCUUAUACGCCCUUCGGGGGAAAGAUUUAUCGGUGAAGGAUCGGCCCGCGUCUGAUUAGAUAGUUGGUGGGGUAACGGCCUACCAAGUCGACGAUCAGUAGCUGGUUUUAGAGGAUGAUCAGCAACACUGGGACUGAGACACGGCCCAGACUCCUACGGGAGGCAGCAGUGGGGAAUCUUAGACAAUGGGCGCAAGCCUGAUCUAGCCAUGCCGCGUGAGUGAUGAAGGCCUUAGGGUCGUAAAGCUCUUUCGCCAGGGAUGAUAAUGACAGUACCUGGUAAAGAAACCCCGGCUAACUCCGUGCCAGCAGCCGCGGUAAUACGGAGGGGGUUAGCGUUGUUCGGAAUUACUGGGCGUAAAGCGCACGUAGGCGGACUAUUAAGUCAGAGGUGAAAUCCCGGGGCUCAACCCCGGAACUGCCUUUGAUACUGGUAGUCUUGAGUUCGAGAGAGGUGAGUGGAAUUCCGAGUGUAGAGGUGAAAUUCGUAGAUAUUCGGAGGAACACCAGUGGCGAAGGCGGCUCACUGGCUCGAUACUGACGCUGAGGUGCGAAAGUGUGGGGAGCAAACAGGAUUAGAUACCCUAGUAGUCCACACCGUAAACGAUGAAUGCCAGUCGUC